GGUUAUGAGGUGAAGACAGGAGAUACCGUACCAUAUCAGCCAUACACAAGGAUUAAGUUUGGUGUUUGUACCAGAAGAUGGUUUCAUCACAUUGUUGCUUUCAUCCAGAAAGCUCCUUUAAGUUUACAGCUUUGCAGAAACACAAGCGGGACAGAAUUUAUUUGGCUCAAGAAUCUGCGUAUGUGCAGAUGAUCUUUGCUUCUAUUUAGUUAAGUUGCUUCAUUUUCAAGGUGAAUGAAAACAAAAGUGCAAAGUACAGAUUGAUGCUUAAUCUUCACAUUGAUGGUGAUACAGAGUUGAUCCAUGAUUUAGCACACUCGUAUUUGGUGCGACUAGACACACGGAAGUGGACUGGAACAUGGUUCAAGCUAAAAAGGGCAUAACUUUCAUUAUGUUUGAAGUUAUACGGGGGAUAAGUAAUGGACAUCAACGUCUCAACGAGCCACACGCUUGGACAAAUGCUAUAGGCAGGUUUUACCGACUCUCGGCACCCAAUUUCGACAUCUAGAGCUCCAAUUUUGAACUCAAGGCUGUUAAUUUCAAGGAACCCUUGGAGCGGUUACAAGUUGCGUCUGAUGGCACUUAGCGUUCAUGGGCUAAGUUACGCACCUCUGAUUGGAACUUAUAACCAAUGAAGAAUUAAUGGAAAUUGCCUCUAAUGGCAAGUUACCACUAAUAAAGAUAAUGGAACUAGCCUAUGAUGUCAAGUUACCAUCUGAUGAAGAUUAAGGAAACUUACCACUGAAGCAAGUUACCUCUAGUGAAGAUUGAUGAAGUCUCGCUAAUGAAGAAGAUGCCACAUGUUGGUCACUUGUCAAUUUCGUACAUCUCAACAAGAUAGCAAAACUAGCCUAUGAUGUCAAGUUAACAUCUCUUGAGAGGAUGUUAUACGUAACUAUCACUUGUCAAUGUUAUACAUAAUUGUCACUUGUCAAGUAGUUGAGUGUGAAUUUGGUGCAUGAACUUAUGUGUGCAAACUUCAGAGAAAAUUUGCAAGUCACCCAACCUUGCAUAGCUAGGAAAUCGUCUUGAAUUUCAGUUGUAAUUUGUGACUAGUUUUACAUUAUGUUUUGAAACAUUCGAUUUUAAUUAAUACCUCGUGCUUAGAACAAUUGUUCUUCA